rnacentral:misc_RNA from 1 species
UUUCCGUAGGUGAACCUGCGGAAGGAUCAUUAUUGUAUAACCGAGGUGCGAGGGCUGUCGCUGACCCGAAAGGUCGUGCACGCCUGAGUGCCCCCACACACAUCCAUCUCACCCCUAUGUGCACCACCGCGUGGGUCCCCCUUUGGCUUGUUCGGAGGGGGGCUUACGUUUUCACACAAACUUUGUAUGCAGUGUAGAAUGUAUUUUUUGUUUUUGCGAUCACGCAAUCAAUACAACUUUCAACAACGGAUCUCUUGGCUCUC